AGCUCCAAUAGCGUAUAUUAAAGUUGUUGCAGUUAAAAAGCUCGUAGUUGGAUUUGGGACUGGAGUCGUUCGGUCGGCCGCAAGGUCUGUUACUGAACGGCUCUGUCAUCACAUUCCCAGAGACCUGCCGUGUACUUAACUGUGCGCGGUACGGGAUUUGGGACGUUUACUUUGAAAAAAUUAGAGUGUUCAAAGCAGGCUAACAUAGCCCGAAUACAUGAGCAUGGAAUAAUGGAAUAGGACUACGGUUCUAUUUUGUUGGUUUCUACGACCGUAGUAAUGAUUAAGAGGGACAAUUGGGGGCAUCCGUAUUUCGUUGUCAGAGGUGAAAUUCUUGGAUUUAUUAAAGACGAACCAGUGCGAAAGCAUUUGCCAAGGAUGUUUUCAUUAAUCAAGAACG
rnacentral:rRNA from 1 species